rnacentral:lncRNA from 1 species
AGAGGGAACGACGCAUGCUUGAGAAAUGGCGGGAAACAGAGGAGGCUCGAGGCUUGCUCACACGCACACAGCCAACUGCUUCUGGACCGCCUUGCUCACACGCACACAGCCAACUGCUUCUGGACCGCCUGAAAGGCAACCUCGCCCGCCGCGGUGGUGUGGGGCGGGCAUCCCUUGAGACUGUGCUCUGGAGGCCUGGAGAAACAGCUUUCUAUCCUCAGCACUGGGGAGAGCAGGCCUCAAUCCCUGCCUUUGCCUGCCGCCCCUCUUCCUUCCCUCUCAAAGCAUACCCAGCAGCCCCGGCGCUGAGAAACGCGUUACUCUCUUAUCAGCUGUGGGAGAGACAAGACAGACUGGCCUCUGGGCGGAGGGGCCGCCAUUGCCUGCCCUCUGGACCAGGGCCUCACAGAUACCCUCAGCUUCAGGAUUAGGGCUGCGUUGGUUUUUCCCCCCACAUCAGGGGACUUCAACAAGUAACCUCCAGUUCCAUAGAUAAAACUUGUAUUCCCCCCUUCUCCAUGGCAGGGGUUUUGAGCCUAGAGAAGGAAGAUCGGAGCUUCCUGGGGCUCCUGUGAAGCAGGCAGGGGGCAGCACUGGGCCCCGGGAAGAGGCGGAGAAGGCGAGGGAGUGCCUGCGGUGAGCCCAGAGCCUUGGGCCCGUUAUCCUCUGAUGCUGCUCCCCCAACUUUCCUGCCGUCAGUCCCUGACCUUGCCUGAGACCUUGGCGGCUCCCGCACCUCUCUCCCGGCUCCUCCUUGCUGAGAACACAACCCGCAAGGCCCUUCCGCCUGGCUGGACUGAGUCCCCUAUGGAGGCAGCCUGGCAGGGAGCAGGUAUCUUCCUGGCAGAAGAGGACAGACCUGCUUCUGCUUUGUAAUCAUACGGACAGUUGUGCUUGUCAGAGUUAACGGUGAAGUCCACAAAACAAAUUUCCACAUCGGCAGUCAAACCUGUA